rnacentral:rRNA from 1 species
CCUACGGGAGGCUGCAGUCGAGAAUCAUUCACAAUGGGGGAAACCCUGAUGGAGCGACGCCGCGUGGGGGAAUGAGGGUCUUCGGAUUGUAAACUCCUUUCAUAUGGGAGCAAACUAAAAAGAUAGUACCACAAGAGGAAGAGACUGCUAACUCUGAGCCAGCAGCCGCGGUAAUACAGAGGGCGCAAGCGUUGUCCGGAAUCAUUGGUCGUAAAGGGUGCGUAGGCGGUUUCGUAAGUCGUGUGUGAAAGGCGCGGGCUCAACCCGCGGACGGCAAAUGAUGCUGGGAGACUAGAGUGCAGGAGAGGUAAGCGGAAUUCGCGGUGUAGCAGUGAAAUGCGUAGAUAUCGAGAGGAACACUCGUGGCGAAGGCGGGUUACUGGACAUUAACUGACGCUGAGGCACGAAGGCGAGGGGAGCGAAAGGGAUUAGAUACCCCUGUAGUC